rnacentral:sRNA from 1 species
UCUUAACCUACAUAUUGUGGACGUGACU